rnacentral:tRNA from 1 species
GGGGCUAUAGCUCAGUUUGGUAGAGCGCUUGAAUGGCAUUCAAGAGGCCAGGAGUUCGAACCUCCUUAGCUCCA